GUGAGGAAUCUUGCGCAAUGGGGGAAACCCUGACGCAGCAAUGCCGCGUGAGUGAAGAAGGCCUUCGGGUCGUAAAGCUCUGUCAGGCGGGAAGAAUAGCUUGAGGGUGAAUAACCUUCAGGUAUGACGGUACCGCCGAAGGAAGCACCGGCUAACUCCGUGCCAGCAGCCGCGGUAAGACGGAGGGUGCAAGCGUUAUUCGGAAUCAUUGGGCGUAAAGAGCGUGUAGGCGGCCGGGCAAGUCAGAGGUGAAAGCCCAGGGCUCAACCCUGGAAGUGCCUUUGAAACUGCUUGGCUUGAGUUCGGGAGAGGGAAGUGGAAUUCCUGGUGUAGAGGUGAAAUUCGUAGAUAUCAGGAGGAACACCGGUGGCGAAGGCGACUUCCUGGACCGAAACUGACGCUGAGACGCGAAAGCGUGGGGAGCAAACAGGAUUAGAUACCCCAGUAGUCC
rnacentral:rRNA from 1 species